ensembl:lncRNA novel transcript
GCUCUUAGGAUGAAGUGACUGGAGCCCAGAUACCUUAUUUAGCAAUCAGUGCUCGGCACAAGGACUUGCUGUGCCAACGAAAAGGAAGCGAGGCAUUUUGGCUAGUCACCGCGUUUUUGCUGCGUCACAGGGAGACAGAAGAUGGGCUGCUAUUUCGUCGGCUAAAUGCUAUCAUUUUAAGCACCGUUCCAAAGAAAACAGGGAUCUUGCCAGAGGAAAAUAACAUAUACCAUAAAGGAAAAAGAAAUGUGCAUCAAGGCAAAUAAACAGCUCUCUACUAAGGGCCUAGGAUCUUGCUAGACGAGUCAUUUCUCUGGUUGAAAAGCAGUUGAGAAAGGCAAGACAAGGGGGGCGGGGGCCCAGCAGGGCACCUCUGAGCCCUUCCUGCUGCUCUUCAAAGACAGACGCAUUUUCCUUUCUACGGUCUCCUUGCAAGUCUUCUGUAGGCCCUGCCACCUUCAGGCUGACUGACUGCCUCCUUCAAAUAUCAGCAUUUGGCUCAGAAGAAAAGCCACGUCUGCCUACACAAUCUCACAAUCCGGCUUCAGCAAAGCAUGAGUUAAUUCAACUUCAUACUCGUGAACGUGAAGCGGGGGUUGGAAGGAAUGAAGGCUGCAGGACACCCAUGUACCAAGAAAAAGAAAGACAAAUUGGUUGUUUUAUCUACUUUACAUCAUGAUGGAGUCCUAAAAAGGGCCCCAUGAAGGCAGGCAGCCCAGGGAGGAAUGACUGGACGGUGACAUUGUGCAGGGGGUCUGGAAGUUGCCAGCGCAGGGGUUAGCAGCUGCAGCCUGGCCUGGUCCUGUCUGCCUGGCUGUCAAACCCAGAAGACCGUGGUUUCUGGUGGCCUCUGUGUGACAGCGGAGGAGGUGGGGCGAGGCCUGGAAGUGAAGCAUCUCGUGAGCCACUUAAGUGUUUAUGAAGCUCGCUAAUGUGCUUAAAUGAACGAGAAGCAGGUACUUGCUCCCAGGACCAGAGCCACCAAAGCAAUUUCCUCUGCAGCCCCUCAUACUUCGCACACUGGAAGCUUGCAUUCUUUCCCAGAGGACAGCCGGAUUACAGCACCGCCUCUAAUGCAACCCGAUCUGGUUUCUUUGAGCGCCGCGGUGAACGUGCAAUCUAUCUCAUAAAUGCAUCGCAGUGUUCCACAAAUCACCCACGUUCAUCCCUUGAGACGUCUUUAACUCGGGGCUUAGAGUUGCAAAUGAAUUCUCCUAUGGAUCUAUUAUUCCAUCAAAUAGCGGAGAGAGGGGACUAGCUUGUGCAGAGCCUUCAUAGAGCUGGGCUAAAUUCGAUUAUGCAAAGUCUAACGAGCACCAUUCAGCAAAACCAUGGUGGGUGUGAGCUGCAGGCCAGCCCCUCCACUGGGCCAUUAUCCAGGGGUAAACACCACUCGUGGGUUAGUUCCACGAGUUACUGGCUGAUUUGACCUGUGAUACUCCAAGGUGGAAGUAACCAAAUAAUAUGUAUCAUGAGCCCCAAGAACGAAGCCAGUGGAGAGUGGUACAUGCUAGAGGGUAACGCCUGGCCCUUUGCAGGACAGCACGUCAGCCAUGCGCCAUGGGACGAUGGUGGUGGCUGGGACACAGGAGGCCACGGCAGGAAAUGGGCAGGUGGGUGGGUCUAUGUAAGCUGGCUUUAGACUUCAAUCCACAAGCAUUUGCAGCUCAACUACUCAGCGUCUUAUCUUAUUUAAUCCUUUCAGCAAUAAACACUCUUUUCACAUGUAGUAAGGUUAAGGAGUCUACAUCACACCCUUUAUCAUUAUUAAUAAAGGGACACACCCUCCAGGGAUCCUAGGGAACCUCCUACCCACCCUGUGGUCACUCUAGGGAAAGGAAAGCUCUCAGGGACCGACGGGAGCCUGGGCACAUGCGCCACCACUCUCUCCUUUAUCCCCUCUAGCCCGGCUUGCUGGCUCUCACUUUCUUUUGUGCACUAGAACUCACGUACAAGUUGCACACCCAAACCCUUGCAUGCUGCAUUUCAGAGUCAACUUCAGUGAUUUUUGAGAGUGAUUUUGACAAUCCCAGUCAAAAUUCUAGCAGGUUUUUUUUUUUUACAUGACAAGUGGAUUCUAAAAUUCAUAGGAAAAUGCAAAUGACCUAGAAGAGCCAAAGCAAUUUUGGAAGGAGUAAAGUCGAAUGGCUGACGCUACCAGAUUUCAAGAUUCACUUGAAACGCACAGGAAUCAAGACAGGGUGGUGUCGACAGAAGGAAGGCGUCAGAGCAGGGUGACAGGAGGCAGGGCCACACACAGACGGCUGAUUGAUACCCGACAAAACCGCCGAGGUAAUUUCACAGGGAAAGGAACUCUUUUGAACAAAUGGUGCACCAACAAUUGGAUAACCAUACGGAAAAAAUUUAAAAAACAGAAGAACAUUGACCCUUCACGCACAUCAAACAUAAAUUAACUCAGAAUCCAUCAUAGGCUGGGUGUUGUGGCUCAUGCCUUUAAUCCUAGCACUUUGGGAGGCCAAGGCAGGCGGAUCACCUGAGGUCAGG